GCCAGGUGACCCUGGAAAUCCAGAGUGGGUGAGGCCUGUCUGACCCUUUCUAGGCGACCCAUUCUUGGUUUCGAGGGUUGCCCUGG
rnacentral:pre_miRNA from 12 species